UACAGAGGGCUCAAGCGUUAAUCGGAAUCACUGGGCUUAAAGGGUCCGCAGGCGGAUUGGCAAGUAUCUUGUGAAUACCACGGCUCAACCGUGGAACUGCUGGAAACUGCCAAUCUUGAACACGACAGGGGCUACCAGAACUCUAGGUGGAGCGGUGAAAUGCGUAGAUAUCUAGAGGAACGCCAGAGGCGAAGGCGGAUGGCUGGGCCGUUGUUGACGCUCAGGGACGAAAGCAUGGGUAGCGAACGGGAUUAGAUACCCCGUAGUCC
rnacentral:rRNA from 1 species